rnacentral:rRNA from 1 species
CACGUAGGGCGCAAGCGUUGUCCGGAAUUAUUGGGCGUAAAGAGCUCGUAGGCGGUUUGUCGCGUCUGCUGUGAAAACUGGAGGCUCAACCUCCAGCCUGCAGUGGGUACGGGCAGACUAGAGUGCGGUAGGGGAGAUUGGAAUUCCUGGUGUAGCGGUGGAAUGCGCAGAUAUCAGGAGGAACACCGAUGGCGAAGGCAGGUCUCUGGGCAUUAACUGACGCUGAGGAGCGAAAGCAUGGGGAGCGAACAGG